UUGUACUUCAGUCUAGCUUUACAACAUCAUUUCAUACUGUUGUUCUCAAUAAAAAGCUCUUUCAUAGAACUUUAGGCACCAGCUCUCCUAUAUUUACUUAGAAUUCUACUUAACCACUACAAAGCCUGCCUUUGUCCUUUCCAGCAGUAUUAUGUUUACUUAGCUCCCAGAUCCUUUUUCUUCAGUAGCCACAAAGAUACCC
rnacentral:lncRNA from 1 species